UGGCAACUGUGAUGACUUGUGUGACUCUGCAGUGCGCAUUGAUGUGCCAUGGAGACGCCAGUCCCUCUAAACUGAUGUUGCCU